UUGGGGUGCACAUUUGUGACCCUAGUCCUCGGAGAUGCUCAGACAGGACUCCAGGGCUCGCUGGCCAGCCAGAUUAGCAGACUUGAUAUGCUUCAGGUUAAAUGAGAUCAUUUCCAAAAGGGAAGAAAGAGAAUAAGGGAGCCAGUCAGACAGACAGACAGACAGACAGACACACACACACACACACACCAUAGUCAGUCAGUCACACACACAUACAUACACACACAGCAACACAUCACAGUCAGUCACAUACACAUACCACAGUCAGUCAGUCAGACAGACAGCAGACAGACAGACACACACACACACACCAUAGUCAGUCAGUCACACACACACACACACACACACACACAUACACAACACACACCAACACACCACACCCAGUCUCACACACACACACACACACACACACACACACACACAUACACACACACACCACGAGUUAUUGUUACUGUGUGCUGACUCUUGUCUCCACAGCACGGGAAGCUCUCAUCAGGGCCUCACCCUUACAACCCACAGAGACACCUUAGAACAUCCACUGGGGUUUAAUGCAUAUAGGACACUCCUUGGAAAGAGCAGAUGAAGGACACAGACCAAACUGUGCUCUAAGCGACCGGCCACAGACUCACGGAUCUCAAAAAUUGUUUGAAAGAAGUACUAAACUGAGCAAGUACCCAACUUUACCUUCCCCCAAUGUCACCACAUCAGACCAUCAUGGAAAGAGCCAAGGAGCGGGAUUUCAACACCAGAGGCCAGUGACGCCCACAGUCACCACAUAUGGAGUAGUUUGCUUCAUUUAAAAUGUAUCCCAAAGGAGACAAUGGCUGUAGUUCAGAACUCUGCCUGCAGAGGCCUGGCAUGUGUGGUUGGGGUGACAAAUGCAUUUUGGUGAAGGGCAGGGGAAGAAGCUGACAUGGGACAGAGAGGCUGGGGCCACUCUGUGACUCUUGGCAACUGUCCUCCUGUCCCAGACACUUCUGUAGAUGAUGAUUAGGUCCGAAUAAAACAAGAACCAAAACUUACGCAGAGUGCCAUGGCCUGAGAGCCAAGUGGGGACAAUGUAGUAGGACUGGCCAUGUUUCCCACUGGCAUGGCUGUGCUUUCUUAACACGAGCUAGGUUCACUUGAGAAGAGAGAACCAAAACUUACACAGACAAAUGUGUCCAUCCAAUCUGCAUGUAGGCAAAACCGUGUGACGUUUUCUUGAUUAAUGAUUGACAUGCCCACUGAGGUGGCACUGAGAGGAAGCUAGCAAGCAUUGUUCCUCUAUGGAUUCUACUUCAGUUGCUGCCUCGACUGCCCUCCAUGGUAGACUAUAAACUGUAAGCUGAGCUGAAUCCUUUCCUCCCAAUGUUGCUCUUGGUCAUUGAGAUGGUUUGAAUGAGAACGGUCCCCAUAGUCUCACAUAUUUAAAUGCUUGGUCCCCAGUUGGUGGAACUGUUUGGGAAGGAUUAGGAGGUGUGGCCUCAUUGGAGGAGGUGUGUCACCAGGAGAGGGCCUUGAGGUUUCAAAGGCCCACACUAGGCCCUGGGUGCUCUCUCUGCCCCGGGCUUGCAGAUAAGGGUGUAAGAACUCAGCUACUGCUCCAGAGCCAUGCGUGCCUGCUGCUGUGUUCCCCACCAUGAUGGCCAUGAACUCACCCUCUGAGACUGUAAGCCCCCAGUAAACUCUCUUUUGUAAGUUGCCCUGGUCACGGUGUCUUUUCACAGCAAUAGACAAGUAACUAAAGCAGUCAUGGUGUUAAUCUCAGCAAUGGAAAACAACCCAGGAGACCCACCAUGUCUUGUUUCAUGGCCUGGGACUCCAUCCCUCCUCAGCUAACUGACUCGUCCUCACUGGAAUUGGGAAAUGUUCUUUUAUAGGCAUCCCCCAAACCCACCACCAUAGGGGCAGGCUACCUCCCAUCCCAGGUGUCUCCUCCAAGGGACCUGGCAUAUUGGGCUCUCAGAGACCUUCCAAGCUAAGUCCCAUCUCCAUUCACAGCCUCAAGCUGUGAUGUAUGCAGAGGCCCGGGCUCUCAAGGUGGCUUUUGUACCUUGUUUACUUGGGGAAAACACAGAACUCAUGAGAGUCCUGAACCAAGGCCAGGCAGCCACUCUCUGGCGGGCGCUCCAGCUGAUUUCCUGUCGCGUACUGGUUUCCCGGCCAGGGCCAUGUGGGAAAACCAGGAGGUGAACUCACACCCACGUCCCCCUCGACGCUGUGACCUCAGUUCCGUGGCAAGAAGCAUUGGGGCCACUCUGACCUCUUUCUGUUUUGGACACUGCUGGCUGCUCCCUGGCUGGCCUGUUCUCUGAGCUCUGGCAGUGUGGGCUGGCAGGCGCCAGGUUUGGGCAGAACACAAAAAGUCCUAGGGGAAAGUGCAGGAAGGGACAGAAGCCAGGCCUGCCUGUGUUGUGUCUCAGUGCAGGGGCUCUUGAAGGCGGAGGGCCGGAAAUGCAGGGCUGACUCAGCAGGCAGGACCCGGCUCCUGAGUCACCACCACACAAACCCACCUUGGCUGGAGUAGAGGAAGCCACAGAGGGUGAGGGCAGGGUUAAUGAGAGAACAGGAAGUGGUUAAGGACUGCUGAGAAGGAAACACUCCCAACCCAGUGCACUUUGGGGGAAGAUGCCCUGGAGGGGGGAGUACACCCAGCACCCUCCAAUCACCUCAGAGUCAGGAGCCCCUUGCAGUGUCUGUCACAGGCCCUCUAUCCUCUCAGCAAGCAAACUUCUGAUGCAGCCUCUAGUGCUGGGACAUUCGGGGGUUUGGGCUGUGGGAAGGUUUU
rnacentral:lncRNA from 1 species